AUUGAACGCUGGCGGCAUGCCUUACACAUGCAAGUCGAACGGCAGCACGGACUUCGGUCUGGUGGCGAGUGGCGAACGGGUGAGUAAUGUAUCGGAACGUACCUUUCAGUGGGGGAUAACGUAGCGAAAGUUACGCUAAUACCGCAUAUUCCGUGAGCAGGAAAGCAGGGGAUCGAAAGACCUUGCGCUGAUUGAGCGGCCGAUAUCAGAUUAGCUAGUUGGUGGGGUAAAGGCCUACCAAGGCGACGAUCUGUAGCGGGUCUGAGAGGAUGAUCCGCCACACUGGAACUGAGACACGGUCCAGACUCCUACGGGAGGCAGCAGUGGGGAAUUUUGGACAAUGGGGGCAACCCUGAUCCAGCCAUGCCGCGUGAGUGAAGAAGGCCUUCGGGUUGUAAAGCUCUUUCGGCCGGGAAGAAAUCGCAUAGGCUAAUACCCUGUGUGGAUGACGGUACCGGAAUAAGAAGCACCGGCUAACUACGUG
rnacentral:rRNA from 1 species